UGCAUUUAGUAUUAGAGACUGUGUAAGUGCAUAAGGAAUGUAGGAUACAUAAACGAAUCUCACGGACAUUAUCAAUAAUACAUUAAUACAUAAUAUUUUUUUCAAUAUAAACAACGACAAUAAUAAUAAUACUUAUUGUGAAAUAUAUUCAUGCAGUAAUAAAUAGUAAUUGUCGCGGGCCACUAAUAUUAUGUGGUGUUUGCUGAAUAGUGGGAAAAAAUGUUGACUUAGCUAAUAAUAUAUAAUACACCACGUCAAGUGGAUCGAUUUUCAGUUGUCUCCAGCAAUCACACAAGUCCAGUACUUUAAUAUUUUAAUCGAUCAGUGACAUUAAUAUAAUAUUAUAACAAUAAAUAAUAAUAUAUUUACACUUCGCAGUUACAUUUAAAAAAUCCAAAUUGUUAGAAUCAUCAUAAGAUAUCAACAACGAGGCCAACAACAAUGACAACAACGAGGUAUCCAUCUAAUUUUUAUGAAACUUAAAGAAAAAUACAUUUAUCAAACAACCCAAGGAUUCAGUCCAAAAUCAGGAACUUAUCAUUUGGGUAUCUAGUCAUUGACGUCGGGUAUCUGAUUAAAACCAUGAAAGAAAUAGAUACUGCGUUUGGAUUGGCGGACCCAGUGCUAUGUGGAAUAAUAACGUAUUUCUCCUUAAAUUGAUGAAUGUCAUCUCAAAAGAGGUGAUCGAAUACAAUUUGUGGAUAGAGCGCCAUUAACGUUAUUUUUUUAAAGGGAAAGAUAAAAACAAAUUCGUUAUACAUUUCAAAUAAUUUGUCUUUAUCUUUUUAAUAUUUAAUAUUUAUGUAGGUAAUUUAUUGCUUUUAAUUUUGUUUUCUAUUUUCUAAUGUAUUUUAAUAACUAUAAAAAAAAAAAAUUAUAUGAAAUGCGGUUAUAUAAAUAGUAUAUAAUAUAUUAUCUAUAUCUAUAUAAUAUAUUAUACUAUAUUAGUAAACUUAUAAUAAUUAAAAAAAAAAUAAACGUGAAAACAUUUUA